AUGGCUAAAAGAGGCAGUGCCGACAACACUAAGGCACACGUCACAGACGGCUGCCUUCGGUGGCUAGACACGAAGCCGGCCAGCUCGGUGGUGUACGUCUCCUUCGGCACGUUCACCACUUUCUCGCCGGCCGAGCUGCGGGAGCUCGCCCGCGGCCUGGACCUCUCGGGCAAGGACUUCGUGUGGGUCAUCAGUUCCGUCGCGGGCAGUGGCACCGACGGUUCAGAGUGGAUGCCUGAGGGCUUCGCCGAGCUGAUGGCACGCAGCGACCGCGGCAUCAUCAUCCGAGGCUGGGCGCCGCAGACUCUCAUCCUCAACCACCCGGCCCUCGGUGGGUUCAUGACGCAAUGUGGCUGGAACUCGGCGCUGGAGGCCGUGAGUGCCGGCGUGGCGAUGGUCACGUGGCUGCGGUACCCGGACCAGUUCUACAACCAGAAGCUCAUCGUGGAGGUGCUCAGGGUGGGCGUCAGCAUCAGCGCCAAGGACUACACGUGGCCUCUAGAGCCCCAUGAGGUGAUCGGCGGCAAGGUGAUCGCUGGAUCCAUCGGCAGACCGAUGGGCAGCAGCGAGGAGGGCGACGCGGACGCCGUACGGAAGAAGGCCAAGGACCUGAGUGUGAAAGCAAAGAGCGCCAUGGAGAAGGGUGGAUCUUCGUACAGCGACGUUGGAAGCCUGAUGGAUGAGUUGAUGGCCCGCCGGAGCUCGGGAGAAGACACCCGACUAAUCUUACAGAAGUGA
rnacentral:rRNA from 1 species